GGCAAGAUGGCCGAGCGGUCUAAGGCGCCAGGUUAAGGUUCACCUUAACAGCAAGUUUCAAGCUUCCUGGUCAUUAAUUUGGCGUGGGUUCGAAUCCCACUCUUGUCA
rnacentral:tRNA from 1 species